rnacentral:rRNA from 1 species
GUCUAUGGCCAUACCACCCUGAAUGUUUCCGAUCUUAUCUGAUCUCAGAAGCUAAGCAGGGUCGGACCUGAUUAAUACUUGGAUGGGAGAAAUGGCUCUUCAGUGCCAGGCAGGGUGGCACAUGCC